GUCACCCAACGGCACAUAGACACAGAGAGAGAACGGGAAAGGAAGGAAGCCGCAUCACGGGGGCGGUCACAUCCAAGGUUUCCGGGGUGGAAGUCGCCGGCGACGAGAUGCUCGUCGACGCCCGCGGCGAGAUGCUCGGCGGCGCCCCUCUAGAGUCCUCGCGCCCCGCUGAUGAGUGUCUGAUGGAUGCCCGCAAGAAGAUUGAACACGAGAUCGAAAGUAAAGCCAAGGCGUCCUUGAAAGAAGGGUUAGGUCAAGAGCUUAAAACUGUACGCACUCGAAUCUCAUCAUCAUUUUUUUGUGUUUUGAUUUAACCCCUUUUUUGUACAUUUUAUUAUGAAUCUCAUCAUCAAUUUUUUUUGGGCAUGAAGUUUGUGGAGAUGGAGUAUAUGGUGUGAAUA